GGGGGAAACCCUGAUGCAGCCAUGCCGCGUGUGUGAAGAAGGCCUUCGGGUUGUAAAGCACUUUCAGUAGGGAGGAAGGUAGUGUAGUUAACACCUGCAUUAUUUGACGUUACCUACAGAAGAAGCACCGGCUAACUCCGUGCCAGCAGCCGCGGUAAUACGGAGGGUGCGAGCGUUAAUCGGAAUUACUGGGCGUAAAGCGCAUGCAGGCGGCCUGUUAAGUCAGAUGUGAAAGCCCGGGGCUUAACCUCGGAAUUGCAUUUUGAAACUGGCAGGCUAGAGUCUUGUAGAGGGGGUAGAAUUUCAGGUGUAGCGGUGAAAUGCGUAGAGAUCUGAAGGAAUACCAGUGGCGAAGGCGGCCCCCUGGACAAAGACUGACGCUCAGAUGCGAAAGACGUGGGGAGCAAACAGGAUUAGAUACCCUGGUAG
rnacentral:rRNA from 1 species